ACGAACGCUGGCGGCAGGCUUAACACAUGCAAGUCGAACGCCCCGCAAGGGGAGUGGCAGACGGGUGAGUAACGCGUGGGAAUCUACCCAGAUCUUCGGAACAACUGAGGGAAACUUCAGCUAAUACCGGAUACGCCCUACGGGGGAAAGAUUUAUCGGAUUUGGAUGAGCCCGCGUUGGAUUAGCUAGUUGGUGGGGUAAUGGCCUACCAAGGCGACGAUCCAUAGCUGGUCUGAGAGGAUGAUCAGCCACACUGGGACUGAGACACGGCCCAGACUCCUACGGGAGGCAGCAGUGGGGAAUAUUGGACAAUGGGCGAAAGCCUGAUCCAGCCAUGCCGCGUGAGUGAUGAAGGCCUUAGGGUUGUAAAGCUCUUUCAGUAGGGAAGAUAAUGACGGUACCUACAGAAGAAGCCCCGGCUAACUUCGU
rnacentral:rRNA from 1 species